UAUUAUAGCCCAUAGAGGGCGCUGCACGGCAUUUUAUCACGCCAGCAGCCACAGGAUCAACCGAUAGAGGGCGCUGCACUGCGUUUCAUCAUCUCUCACGUCCGCAGCCACAGCAUCUGCCCAUAGAGGGCGCUGCACGGCAUUUCAAGCACGUCAGUAGCCACAGUAUCAGCCCAUAGAGGGCGCUGCACGGCAUUUUAUCACGCCAGCAGACACAGGAUCAGCCGAUAGAGGGCGCUGCACUGCGUUUCAUCAUCUCUCACGUCCGCAGCCACAGCAUCUGUAAGCCGAUAGAGGGCGCUGUACACGGCCACUUCUCACAGCACGCCAGAGGACGGGUUAACCCUUUCCUGAACAGCAGCACAAAUUGGACGAAAGAAACUGCCGCGCUUUCACUAAACGCCGCUAAUAUUGUACAUUUACUCUGCUCGGCUUGUGUCCAUAAAGGUCAGUCACAGUUUGCAUUUCCAAUAGAGGGCGCUCUACACGAUAACUUCACAUACAUUUCCACGCAGCUCGUACUCAGCUCGGGUAACUGUAAUUCUAUUAGAGGGCGCGAGUCUAGACAACAGCUUCAGCAGCACAAUUAGUGUCUCUCUAUGGGCAGAAGCUGCUCAAAAUGAAGGUUCCUAGCCGCUUGUUUGUCUGUGAUUCCAAUAGAGGGCGCUCUACACGACGCUGCAGUAGUACAGCUCCUCCGCUCAGUCACGCUUGUCAUUGAGAGGUUCCUGGCAGCAUGUACGCUGUAUAUAUGAACGUCAUUCACCAGUCUACUUCCAAUAGAGGGCGCUCUACACAACGCUGCAAUAGUACAGCUCCUCCGCUCAGUCACGCUUGUCAUUGAGAGGUUCCUGGCAGCAUGUACACUGUAUAUAUGAACGUCAUUCACCAGUCUACUUCCAAUAGAGGGCGCUCUACACGACGCUGCUUGCUCCGGUACUGGUUUGGGAGGUUUCCACCAGCCUGAAUAUACACGUCAUUCACCAGGCUGUAAUUCCAAUAGAGGGCGCUCUACACAGAACCACAAAACACCCAGUUAACUCUUCCAUGUCCAGCAGAACACCACACAUCCCUAUAAUGCACAACUACACAA